rnacentral:piRNA from 1 species
UGCGAGUUUUUAACUUUUAGA